UACGAAGGGGGCUAGCGUUGCUCGGAAUUACUGGGCGUAAAGCGCACGUAGGCGGAUCUUUUAAGUCAGGGGUGAAAUCCUGGAGCUCAACUCCAGAACUGCCUUUGAUACUGAGGACCUUGAGUUCGGGAGAGGUGAGUGGGAACUGCGAGUGUAGAGGUGAAAUUCGUAGAUAUUCGCAAGAACACCAGUGGCGAAGGCGGCAUCCUGGACCGGCAUUGACGCUGAGGCGCGAAAGCUAGGGGAGC
rnacentral:rRNA from 1 species